UGAGAAGGAGCUAAGGGCUCCCUGGUUCAAAGGGCCGCAGCCCCGAGGGAAUGCCCUCUUCGUGUGCCCCGGGGUGCAGAAGCAGACUGCAGGGCGGUGGGACCAGCCUGGGCCACGAUAUUCUGACAUGACUGUGAUCCUGUGGAUGACAAAGUCGUAAAAACAGAGAGAGAGAGAAAGAAAGAAAGAAAGAAAGAAAGAAAGAAAGGAAACUACAUCCUAGUCCUAAAACUUCCGUUUAGUCAACAAGAAUUUGAGUUCUUAUUUCCAAUAAAAGACUGAAACAACAAACAAACAAAAACAAAACAACCAAAGCAAACAACAAAAAUAAAACCACCCUGAA
rnacentral:lncRNA from 1 species